rnacentral:miRNA from 1 species
UUACUUAGGAUGAAACAUGUUC